rnacentral:lncRNA from 1 species
AACAGUUUGGUAGUGGAAAAAAAAAAAUUGGACAUCCUCAUGAUCUUUUGCAAUAACCCCCCCAGAUGCGUGGUUCCCUUGUGUUGACUCUGCGUUGUGUAGAUCCCUUUGUGCAGGGGUCAAGGCUCUCGAGGGCUCAUCCCGUGGACGCGGGGGCCACCGGGAAGGACGACACUACACGGGACCCGCCGCCAGGCACGGCCGGGCCCCCUCGGUCCCCGCGGGGCAGAGACCGCCCAGCCCGGGUCCCGGGCACCAGCAGCUCUUCUGCAGCAAAGCCAUAGGAGGAGCGCGCAGGGCCUCCCCGUGGAGAGGGACGUCCAUGCCGGGUGAGGGAUCCCUGCCAGCCUCCGUGAACGGGCCGGCCCUUCAAGGAGGCCCCAGCACACGUGUUGGGAGCACGAUGCCGGCCAGCCUCUCGGGGGCCCGCGAUCGGCCUCGGGGAUGCGGAGAGGCCAAGGACGACAGCCGCUCGGGGGGCUCCGAGCUUCGGGGCUCGUGCCGGCUUCCAGGCUGCAGGGCCGGCUGGGUGAGGGGCUCAUGGGCUGGAGCAGGAAGGAUACGGGUGCCCCAGGCACCCCCAGGUGGGCUGAGAGGUGCUGAGCCUGCUCGGCGUUGGCGGCAGCACAGAGCAGAGCGGAGGCCGGCCCGCACCCCGGUGCCCCCAGAUGGAGGGGAGCGGGGUCCUCGCAGGCCUGGCGUCAGAAGCCGGCGAGGUGUCGGGACUGGCCCGAGACCUCGGGGAUGGACGUGCCGAGCUGCUCAGCGCACUUCCAACAACGGGCCCGCCGGCCCUCAGCUUGUCCCGCACCCCCCGGUGUCACUGGGAUCGUUGUUUUUUGAAGAAACAGAAGAUUAUAUUUUUUACAGAGAGCAAGCUGUUUUUCUUAUUUUUGUAUCAUUUUUCAGAUGUGAUUUUUACCUUUGCUCCUAAUUUGCUGGUCGGGUGAGUGACGCGGUGGCCUCACUCAGGUCACAUCCCCAGAGGGGUCCCCCCGCCCCAUGGGGAGCCUCCCCCACCAGCUCCCGAAGCACACGCCCCGGUCUGGACCGUAAGGGCGGGGCCAGCCCGGCUCCCAUUCCCCCCGGCGCUGGGAUCUUUUGAUUCUGCAGGUCGACCUUGAACGGACGCAGGCGGAGUCCACCCUCAGCCUGGGCUUUGGCCCCUGGUCAGCACAGGUGGAGCGAGUCUCGGGCUGGGGGAGGGUCCACAGCCAGUGGGGCCCCCUCCGGGCCCGAGGCAGGCAGGGUGGGCCCUGGACUGGGCCCAGGGUGACUGCGGGGGCGACACCCGGGAGUGCUGCCGGACGCCCUCGCUGGGGCCACUGUGUGGUCAGCGUGUGUCCCCAAGCCUGGGGCAGGGGCCCUGCAGGGGAGCGGACUUGCUGUCUUCAGAGCCACGUGGCUUGGUUUGAGUCCCUUCCGAGGAGAAAGGGAGAUGAAAACUGACCAUGUGCUGGGGGCGGCCGCCGGGGGCCGCGGCGGGCCCUGCUUGGAAGCCCGGGGCCUCUGCCGGGAGGGCGCCGGCCUGGGCAGACGCCCUGUCGGCAAGAGCCCGUGUCGUUUUUACUGAAUCGUGUAAAUCUGGGCAGAUGUUUAAUUUCUGCGACUGAUCACGGAACUAGAGUGAAUGUUAACGUUUUUAUGUCUGAAGCUUGAGUCUAUUUUCAAUUGUAAAUGCUCCUCACCAGUGUAAGUUUUGUUCUACAAAAGGACUGUACUGUAUGAAGAACUAAUUGAAAAAAAACCCUCCUGUAACUUUUUUUUUUAAAAAAAACCUUGUUUAAAGAAAAAAGUCUUGUAUAAAUUAUAAAUUUUUAUUUAAAUAAACCUGGAACGUGUUGUGCUCACAGUGGGGGAGGGUGUGGGGUGGCUUUCCUGGCAGGGUCCCGUGGCCAGCAGCGCUGGAGGGCAGUGGGGUUUUGGCGUCAAGGCCGAGGGGCGAGGUGGGUCCCCCGGGAGUGGGCCGUGGGGGCAGGGCGGGGGGCUAUGCACACGGACAGGCUGGGAAGAGGGAGGCAGAGGCCGGCUUCCAGAAGAAGGAAGCCAGUGAUGGGUGGUGGCCGGCGGGGAGGGGUGUCCAGGGGCUGGCACACACCCUGGAGGGGGGGGGUUCAGGCCUGGCCUCCUGGGGACCGUGAGCAUCUCUGGGGCCAGGUGCUGCUUGUAGCCCCCACCACACUGAGGCUGAGGUGGGAGGCCGAGGGGUCCUGGGCAGAGGGGUCCUUGGUAGCGCGUGUGGUUCUGCCGGGCCACUCGCCAACACUGGACACGGAUGCAGGAACCUGCCUGGCUUCUGCAGCCACUGGGGCCGUGCAGUGACCGUGCUGGGGGCCCGGCGGUGUGGGGCAGGGGGGUCUGGGGGACAGAAGGGGGAGACGGGCGCACAGAGGGAAUGAAAUGAACGUUCUUGUUCUUGAACUGGGGCUCUCUCCACGGGUGCUGUUUACAACAUGGCGUUUGGGGAGUGGAUUUUACGACUGACGGACAGGUAAAUAAGCAGGCACACACUGACCAAAGCGGGGUGCUUAUGGUGAACCAAGAACUCAGUCUGGUCCGGUUCUCCCCACGGUAACCAACUGGCAAAGCUGAUUCCAAAGGUAUUUGCUGAAACAGAGACUCGAGUGAGGUGUGAGGGACCCUGAGGACUGCAGGGGUGUCUGGGACCGGCAGCUGUGGUCCGUGAUCCGAGGGAGGCCCUAGUGUCCGGCUCGCUGAGAUCUGCCCCAAAACCACUGGGACAGGAAGCCCAGCCCCUUCCUCUUGCGGACCCAGCGUCCUCCACUGUCAAGGGCUGGCAUCCCACCAACAAGGUCGUGAAGGAAGACAAACGUUCCAGUAUCUGUGACUACAGACAGCCCCCAGGCCUGCAGAUAAAUGAGGCAACCUUUUUGGAUAUAAUCCCACUCAAAAAACAACUGCAUUUCUACUUAAAGGAGAGUAGCCUCACAAUAACGAUGUUUUUAAGAACAAAUCCAAAUAAAAUUGAAAGAUGUGGAAAAAUUCUAAAGCUCUAUGACAUGAAUGAGGACUGACGUAAAUGGAAACACAUGCAAUGCUAAUAGACUGGAAAAUUCCGUUUCAUGAUGAAAACGUUUUAAUACCCGCUAAAUGAGACAAGCUGCAGAAAAUGACACAGUAGGACCACUUUAUGUAAAGAGCAAAACCUGCAAAACUAAAUACACUAUCUCAAGAUAAACACAUGGGGGAAGGAGAAAAACCUUUCUUCUACCCUCUUACGUUCAGUUACUGGAGUCUGCAAGUUAAAUCAACAAAAGGCAAGUUAGGAGAAAAGGCAUAGAGUUUUUAUUUAAUGCUAAUAUUUACGUAUUUUUUUGUUCUGGAGGCCGUUGUAGAAAAAGAGUCUGACCCAAAGAGGUGGUCAGAGUCAGGGUUUUAUAUGCCGUUUUAAUAAAGGGCAAUAAAUUUGUCAAGAAGUGACAAGAUAAAAGGGAGCUUGGGCUUCUUGGGUGAACAUACUGAGGAAUUUUAUUUGCGGGGAAACUAAUGGACCAGAGUGAAAGUCGCUUGGUCAUGUCUGCCUCUGUGCAACUCCAUGGACUAUACAGUCCCUGGGAUUCUCCAGGUCAGAAUACUGGAGUGGGGAGCCUUCCCCUUCUCCAGGGGAUCUUCCCAUCCCAGGGAUUGAACCCAGGUCUCCUGCAUUGCAGGUGGAUUCUUUACCAGCUGAGCCACAAGAGAAAGGGGCUGGCAAACAGAACGGAAGGGUGGUUUUAUUACUCAGGUUGGUCUGUCAGCUCAGAGCUGACUCUGUCUCCAGGGACACGGGUGGCCCCCGAGGGCAGGGGGGCUCACCCGCACAUCGGGAGCGCGUGUCCCUCCAGGCAGACGUGGGAGGGGCAGGCAGCUCUGUCUGCAUUCCCUGCUGCUUCACUGUCACCUGCUCAGAACACCCUCAUGCCCAAGUGGCGCACGUGGGGUGCUGUGUUCUGAUCCCCUCACGUGGGUGAAGCAAGCGAUUCGCUCCAGUUUUAAAACCAUAGUUCCCUCCUCCGUGGGGGGAGGGGAGGCUCGGCCCACAAGGGCACACGGGGAGGAGCCUGGGGGUGAAGAUCAGUUCCUUGGCGUGGGUGGUGGGCUCACCAUUGCUCACUUUCUUUACAUUGUACGUGUUUUCACACAAAAAAAUACUCUGCUUUGAAAGACAACAGGAAUUUGUAAGAGGAAAAAAAAAAAAGCCACAUUCUGCCCAAAGUAACAACUUUAUUUGUCUUCUCAAACAUAUCAGAGCAAAUUCGCCAUCUUCUAACCUUGAAGCCAGCAAGAUUAGAAAGGAAGUUAAGCCCCUUUCCGUUGCCACUGCCAGUUCCACGGGGCCGCUGUGAGGGCAGAGGCAGCUGGCGCCGAGGGGCUGGCACGCCGGCCGCCCUGGCCUGCGCAUAACCGGGAACAAGGAACCGCAGCACCGCCGGGCACAGGGUCCUCCCCAUCCAGCCAUCAGUUCCGAUUUUUCCUUAAAAUCCUGGAGUUUAGGCUGUGGUCGCUCCACCAGAGUCCUGGCUCGCGGGAAGGUCAGGAAGGUACUCUGGUCCUGGGGUGGGGUCGUCCGCAGCGCCUGGGGUGGGGGUGGGGGCUCAGACAGUCACAUGACCCCCGGGGACAGUUCCAGAAUCUGCGGUUUUGAAGGUCAGCAAGCGGUUGCAGAAUAUGGCCAAGGCCACUGGGGACCACGUGGCAUUACAGGGGUGGGGGUGGGGGUUCCUUCUCGAACAGAACAUGCUUACUCUUGGCCUAGACUGUUUUUCUAGCAACGGCAAUGGGUUUCGGGGCAGACCAGUGAUUGACGUUUCGCAGGGACGAUCAAGACCAUGGAGACCCUCUUGGGGACCCUGUAGAAACACGGUCUCCUGAAAAACUCCUGUCGAAGCUGCCCUGGGUGGGAAUGAGACAGGACAUGCAACAUAUACGAGUUCUGAGAAUGAAGGACAUCUGUUAGAAGCGAGGGUGACCGCCGGACCCUGUGUGGUGGCCGGCGGCCCUCAAACCGCCUCUUGUAACAGUCGAGCUCCCUUUUCACAAGUCCAAAUGGGGCAGCAUCCUCUUAGGUCUCAGAUAAAGCUGCUGCAGAUGCGUCGUCCACGCACAGAAGCACAAACACAGAUGAAACGGGGCCAGGCCAGGCGCCCCCCUCCCGGUCUGGGGUGGGGCCCGCACUUGCGCAGCAAACAAAGGAAAACACGGCCAGCGAGGACACUGUACGCUCUUCCGGUUUACAGGACGCACCUUGCAAUAAAUACGUGGAAGGAAGUGUGAAGACAACAAAGGCAUGGGCCUGGAUCACGGGUACAGACGGGGCUGCGGGAAGGGCACCCCGGCACGUGGGACCCUCUCCCCAGGGCGGUGGGGCGCUCGGUCCGAAGUUCACGGGCUGCUUCCCGUCGGGCCACCGAGCCGGGCACGGCAGCCCCCGCCGUGGGGAGAGCACUCGCGGCGUCUAAGCGCUGAGACACUCGCCAGGGCGCCACAAGCGGCUGGUUUCCAAGGCGCCUGACCUGUCCUCCCGCCGGAUCGUCUAGAAGUGCUGCUGUGACAGGAGUGCAGCCCGGGGAGUCCCUCCCGCUCGCUGGACCAGGCUGCCCCGGAGGGAGUGCAGCCCGGGGACUCCCACCCGCUCGCUGGACCAGGCUGCCCCGGAGGGAGUGCAGCCCGGGGACUCCCACCCGCUCGCUGGACCAGGCCGCCCCGGAGGGAG